UACGUAGGUGGCGAGCGUUGUCCGGAUUUAUUGGGUUUAAAGGGUGCGUAGGCGGGCUGUUAAGUCAGCGGUAAAAGCCCGGGGCUCAACCCCGGCGAGCCGUUGAAACUGGCUGUCUUGAGAUGUCGAGAGGUAUGCGGAAUGCGCAGUGUAGCGGUGAAAUGCUUAGAUAUUGCGCAGAACUCCGAUUGCGAAGGCAGCAUACCGGCGGCGAUCUGACGCUGAGGCACGAAAGCGUGGGUAUCGAACAGG
rnacentral:rRNA from 1 species